UGGGGAAUAUUGGACAAUGGGCGAAAGCCUGAUCUAGCCAUGCCGCGUGUGUGAAGAAGGUCUUCGGAUUGUAAAGCACUUUAAGUUGGGAGGAAGGGCAUUAACCUAAUACGUUAGUGUUUUGACGUUACCGACAGAAUAAGCACCGGCUAACUCUGUGCCAGCAGCCGCGGUAAUACAGAGGGUGCAAGCGUUAAUCGGAAUUACUGGGCGUAAAGCGCGCGUAGGGGGUUUGUUAAGUUGGAUGUGAAAUCCCCGGGCUCAACCUGGGAACUGCAUUCAAAACUGACUGACUAGAGUAUGGUAGAGGGUGGUGGAAUUUCCUGUGUAGCGGUGAAAUGCGUAGAUAUAGGAAGGAACACCAGUGGCGAAGGCGACCACCUGGACUAAUACUGACACUGAGGUGCGAAAGCGUGGGGAGCAAACA
rnacentral:rRNA from 1 species